rnacentral:rRNA from 1 species
AUUGAACGCUGGCGGCAGGCCUAACACAUGCAAGUAGAACGAGUGGCGGACGGGUGAGUAAUGUCUGGGAAACUGCCUGAUGGAGGGGGAUAACUACUGGAAACGGUAGCUAAUACCGCAUACCAUCAGAUGUGCCCAGAUGGGAUUAGCUUGUUGGUGGGGUAACGGCUCACCAAGGCGACGAUCCCUAGCUGGUCUGGGAGGAUGACCGGCAACACUGGAACUAGGACACGGUCAAGACUCCGACGGGGGGCAGCGGGGGGGAAUAUUGCACAAGGGGCGCAAGCCUGAUGCAGCCAUGCGGCGUGUAUGAAGAAGGCCUUCGGGUUGUAAAGUACUUUCGGCGGGGAGGCGUUACCCGCAGAGGAAGCACCGGCUAAUUCCGUGCCAGCAGCCGCGGAAUUC